rnacentral:tRNA from 1 species
UCCGAGGUAGCUCAGUGGUAGAGCGCCCGGCUCGUUUUCCGGGUGGACGUAGGUUCGAGCCCUGCCCUCGGAGCCA